AGGGCACUAAAUUGAAAAGGAGUACGACAUAUCACCCACAAAUCGAUGGCCAGACGGAAGUGGUGAACAGGUGCUUGGAGAUAGCCCAAAGCCAUCCACCAAAUAUGACUACCCAAGGAGAACUCCAGACCCAAUCGAGUACUGUGAUUGAUCGACAGAUCGUGACCCGACGAUGGUGACCCACUAUUGAAGCGCUAAUACAAUGGGUGAACUAAC
rnacentral:lncRNA from 1 species